GAUUUUGUUGUCGGUCAGGGUCCUGGGCAGUGUAGGUGAAGAGUUUCUCCCCCGUACUCAGACCCUCAUGGACUUCUACUACUUUAGUGGAUGGAAAGAAGACGGGUGCUUCAUUCACAUCCACCACAUGCACCGUGACCGUGGCUGUGGACGUGGGCAGCUUCAACGCAAAAGGAGCCUCAUUGGACACCAUGACGGAAAGAACGAACUGGUUCUUGGUCUCAAAGUCCAAGCCCUGAAGGGAGAAAGAAAAGGUCCUUAUCCAGAGAGAUACAGAUAUGGGAGGUACAACCCAUUCCCUCUUCCGCCUCCGUAGAAUGUGUCUGGAUGAGGAAGACUUCAGCUCCUGGCUUCCCUAAGAGAAGAGGCAAAGAUUCUUUACUAUAGACAUGAAAGUAGCUGGAAAAAGAGGGUAAACAGCAAGAUUCAUGAAGCCCAGAGGAUCAUGGAAGGCCAGCUCUCCAGAGAUACAGGGUGUUCUGACCUGGAAUUCUCUUGCCAAGACUAAGACCAAAGGUCAGGGAUGAGGAAGAAGAAAAAACAAACAGAGAAAGAACUGAAAGUAACGUUUGCCUGCUUAUUCACCUACAAGGCAGAACUUGGUCCUGACACAAUUGUUAAGGGCUAAGUGACUUGCCCAGGGUCACAAAGCUAGUGACUCUAAGCGUAGCCCUCUAGUGAAUGUUCUGCCUAGCUGCUCUUCCCACUUGCCCAUCCUGCUGAGAGCCAAUCAGAGCUCAGAUAUAUCCCCACCCUACAACUCAAACACUAGGUCCUUACUAUCUAAAGAGAGUGCUCCUAUUACCUCAGCAGAGGGCGUCUGCCCUCUAAUUACGGUCACAAUGACAGAGGAUUCCUGGCCACG